AUCCUUGAAGGCAAUAAGAUAUUUUCUCUUUCCCUGAGCCUUUUGUUUGAGAGUUGUAGACGGUAAACUCACCAACCUCCCUCGCCUUCGUCUUUUCCCCUCUCUCUCUGCUUUCAACCAUCUCCGGCGUGGGUGUUUGUGCCGGAGCUCCGUCCGCCGCUGCUAGAGGUCGGAAUCGUAAGUUUUCUUCACCUACCGUUGCUUAGCCGUUCGUAUGCGUCACCUGUCCUUCACCUUCUCCUCAUCAUGAUUCGCGUAGACAGCAUCUUCUUCUUUCUCCCUCCAAUAACAUUGUUGAUCUUAGGCAUGGCAAAACUGGAGGGAAGGGAGUGGUUCAAAUACAGUUGAUCCUCAGUUAAAGAAUGGUUCAAGAAAUGAGAUAAUGAGAUGCAUUCACGUUGGAUUGCAAUGCAUGUUCAGGAAAAUGUGGCUAAUAGGCCAACCAUGGCUUCAGUUGCAGUAAUUCUGAGCAGCCACUCUGUCUGUACCACUCCCAUCGAAACCUCCAUUAAGCUUAACAAAUAAAGGAGGAAGCAACUCUGUUCAAGCGUCAAGAAAUGAGGUCUCAAUUACAGAGCUAUAUCCUCGCUAAAUCCAUCCUUUGAAGGUGACUUUCAAUGCAACAGUUUUAAUCUACAGAUUACUCUACCAAAGAAGAACGAAUGAGCUUGCAGUUCACUUAGGAAAAAAACAAAUAAAAGUAGUCAUUUUUGUUGUUGAUAUUUAGCAUGAUUUCAGUUUGCGUGUAAGCUUAUAUAUUGGGCAUGGGUUUGUGCAAGCAUACUGUCAAGCAUAGUUGUUAAAUUCACGAGUCAUUUUGACUUUAUAAAA